UACGUAGGGUGCAAGCGUUGUCCGGAAUUAUUGGGCGUAAAGAGCUCGUAGGCGGUUUGUCGCGUCUGCUGUGAAAACUCGGGGCUCAACCCCGAGCUUGCAGUGGGUACGGGCAGACUAGAGUGCGGUAGGGGAGACUGGAAUUCCUGGUGUAGCGGUGGAAUGCGCAGAUAUCAGGAGGAACACCGGUGGCGAAGGCGGGUCUCUGGGCCGUAACUGAACGCUGAGGAGCGAAAGCAUGGGGAGCGAACAGG
rnacentral:rRNA from 1 species